AGGGUUUUCGCGUUGUCGGAGCAGAAACACAGAAGCCGCACGCACGACCCCUGUGUUCUACCCUUCUGCCUCGCAAUCAUGUCAAGGAGAAAGGUUAGAGAGCCCAAGGAAGAAA